ACGCCUCUGCGUGGCGAUUUGUUACCGGAUUGUGGGCCACGUAAAAUAUGCCGCUAAAAGGUCAGGAUGAAGGAGAC
rnacentral:ncRNA from 2 species